CUUCGGGGGUACUCGAGCGGCGAACGGGUGAGUAACACGUGAGCAACCUGCCCCUGACUUCGGGAUAAGCCUGGGAAACUGGGUCUAAUACCGGAUAUGACCAUUGCCCGCAUGGGUUGGUGGUGGAAAGUUUUUCGGUUGGGGAUGGGCUCGCGGCCUAUCAGCUUGUUGGUGGGGUGAUGGCCUACCAAGGCGACGACGGGUAACCGGCCUGAAAGGGCGACCGGUCCCCCUGGGACUGAAACCCGGCCCAAACUCCUACGGGAGGCAGCAGGGGGGAAUAUUGCGCAAUGGGCGGAAGCCUGACCCAGCGACCCCCCGUGGGGGAUGACGGCCUUCGGGUUGUAAACCUCUUUCAGCAUCGACAAAGCCUUCGGGUGACGGUAGGUGCAGAAAAAGCGCCGGCUAACUACGUGCCCGCAGCCGCGGUAAUACGUAGGGCGCAAGCGUUGUCCGGAAUUAUUGGGCGUAAAGAGCUCCUAGGCGGUUUGUCGCGUCUGGCGUGAAAGCCCACGGCUUAACUGUGGGUCUGCGGUGGAUACGGCAGGCUAGAGGCAGGUAGGGAGAAUGGAAUUCCGGUGUAGCGGUGAAAUGCGCAGAUAUCGGAGGAACACGGUUGCGAAGGCGGU
rnacentral:rRNA from 1 species